rnacentral:rRNA from 1 species
AACUUUCAGCAACGGAUCUCUUGGCUCUCGCAUCGAUGAAGAACGCAGCGAAAUGCGAUAAGUAAUGUGAAUUGCAGAAUUCAGUGAAUCAUGGAAUCUUUGAACGCA